rnacentral:rRNA from 1 species
CGCCUUUUGAACUAUAAACAUAAAAGGUCCUGCCUGCCCAGUGACACUGUUUCAACGGCCGCGGUAUCAUGACCGUGCAAAGGUAGCGUAAUCACUUGUCUUUUAAAUAAAGACCGGUAUGAAUGGCAAGACGAAAGCCUAACUGUCUCCCCAGGUUAAUCAAUGAAAUUGAUCUUCCCGUGCAGAAGCGGGAAUAACAAUAUAAGACGAGAAGACCCUGUGGAGCUUCAAACUUAAGCUAACAGAUCAAAAUGCCUUAGCACACAGUUUUAGGUUGGGGCGACCAUGAGGUAAAACAUAACCCUCAAGACGAAAACUAAGAAGGACACUUCAAAUAAAUAAUAAUAACGUAAUUGACCCAAUAAUUGAUCAACGAACCAAGUUACCCCAGGGAUAACAGCGCAAUCUACUCAAAGAGCCCUUAUCGACGAGCAGGUUUACGACCUCGAUGUUGGAUCAGGACCCCCAAAUAAUGCAACAAUUAUUAAAGGUUCGUUUGUUCAACGAUUAAAGUCCU